UGGGGAAUUUUGGACAAUGGGGGAAACCCUGAUCCAGCCAUCCCGCGUGUGCGAUGAAGGCCUUCGGGUUGUAAAGCACUUUUGGCAGGAAAGAAACGUCAUGGGUUAAUACCCCGUGAAACUGACGGUACCUGCAGAAUAAGCACCGGCUAACUACGUGCCAGCAGCCGCGGUAAUACGUAGGGUGCAAGCGUUAAUCGGAAUUACUGGGCGUAAAGCGUGCGCAGGCGGUUCGGAAAGAAAGAUGUGAAAUCCCAGAGCUCAACUUUGGAACUGCAUUUUUAACUACCGGGCUAGAGUGUGUCAGAGGGAGGUGGAAUUCCGCGUGUAGAAGUGAAAUGCGUAGAUAUGCGGAGGAACACCGAUGGAGAAGGCAGCCUCCUGGGAUAACACUGACGCUCAUGCACGAAAGCGUGGGGAGCAAACAGG
rnacentral:rRNA from 1 species